ACAUCCCGCGUCGUGUCAGUUAGUUUGAAAACCCUGGGCGCAAUGGGGGCACCAUGGACGGGGGUCCGCUUAAGAGUUGCAAUCGCCCUGUGUGGUGGGAGGGAGGUCGGCUGACUCACCGAUUCUGAUUCAGGGAAAUACCGAGAUAAAGAAAAAGGUAGGUCACGCUGUCCGUAAAGCGUAGUUGUGACUAAUGACCGUCGACCACGUGGUUUCUACUUGUCAGCUCGGAUCGAAGAAGGGGCUCUGGGGAGAAGGGGUACCGUGGUGGGGCCCGUUUCCCCCGUACACCACAGCUCAGGGAAAACCUCUCCAAUAUUAAUAGCUUCUCGAUAUAAAAAUAAAACUCGUCUCUUUUUAUUCUCUCUCUCUUACAAUAAUCUGCUCAAAACAAACGUUCCCGCAGUUCCGGACGCGCCGCACUUCCAUCUCGACCCAAGUCCUUCAAGGUCUGCCAAUCGCACUCUUGGCCGGCGCGUGCAUCAUCUUCACUGAUGGGGUUUUCAGGUUAGGGUAUAAGUAGGGUGAGGCACAUGCCAUCAACUGAGGAUGGCGAAAGAACGAAAAAAAGUUUUUUU